rnacentral:rRNA from 1 species
UAGGGAAUCUUCGGCAAUGGGGGGAACCCUGACCGAGCAACGCCGCGUGAGUGAAGAAGGUUUUCGGAUCGUAAAGCUCUGUUGUUAAGGAAGAACGAGUGUGAGAAUGGAAAGUUCAUACUGUGACGGUACUUAACCAGAAAGGGACGGCUAACUACGUGCCAGCAGCCGCGGUAAUACGUAGGUCCCGAGCGUUGUCCGGAUUUAUUGGGCGUAAAGGGUUCGCAGGCGGAAAUGCAAGUCAGGUGUAAAAGGCAGUAGCUUAACUACUGUAAGCAUUUGAAACUGCAUAUCUUGAGAAGAGUAGAGGUAAGUGGAAUUUUUAGUGUAGCGGUGAAAUGCGUAGAUAUUAAAAAGAAUACCGGUGGCGAAGGCGACUUACUGGGCUCAUUCUGACGCUGAGGAACGAAAGCGUGGGUAGCAAACAGG